GAGACGGGAAUGCUAUUUCAUCUCAUUUGUUCCCCCUCAAAGAUGAUUUUCAACAAAAAAGCAAGUCUAGCAUUUGGCCUCUAGAAUAAAGAUACGGAAAAUGCCAUCAACUUUUAUCAUAUGAAAAACAAAGGAACACCAUAAAGAUAUUGAAAAAGGAAAUAAAUCAAUGUCUUUGAAUAUUUGCUUCCUAAACUGUAGACUUCAAAGUAGUCAUUGCUUGAAAAAUCAUCACAAGGCAGUAUGUUUUAAAGUGGACUACUGACACUCUAAAAAAUAAGACCUCUGGCCACAAAUUAAAUGCUAAAAUAUGUAAGUAUACAUAUUUUUUGGUGUUCAUAAAUCAAAUGAGAAAGGUAUUCCAAAUUUACAGCUUCAAACCAUUGAUACAUCCACCUAAAUAUUAUAUGUUUGUUCUUACAUACUUAUCACACAUGCCAAAAAGUGAAGAUAAACUUGAACACCAAAAUAGGAUAAAAGAACAUCAAAGAAUUUACAGAAAGUAACUUCAUUCAUAGCAAACCAGGGGCCUCUGAGUCUGAGAAAUAGUCCUUUUUGGUAGAUUGUGCUACUGCUAGGAAAGUAGCAUCCUCAUUUAUUGUUGAAAGUUAAACAUCACAAUACCUCUACAGAUAUAGAAAAUGAUCUUGGAGAAGUAAGAUUUAAGGACAAUAGCUAAGGAACAAACUUAGAAGUCAUUAAAUCAACAAGUAAUAUGUACCUUCAAAGGAACUUUGUGCAAGGUGUUUGAGUUUAGGCCAUUGUAUUCUAUGAACUUGCCUUUCACUUCAAUCCACAUUGUGCGAAAGCCUGUAACAAUCUCGGAGUUAUAUAUAAAGAUCGUGAAAACCUUGAAAAAGCUAUAGAUUGCUACCAGGUAAUAGUGAUGAUCAUAUCAUUUUGUUUCACUAUUGCUGGAUUGCAUAGAUUUAUAAUCACAAUCUAUUAUUUUGGUUAUGCAACUUGCUUUGUCAAUCAAACCUAAUUUUUCCCCGUCAUUAAAUAACCUCAAUGUUGUAUACACUAUCCAAGUUGAGUAUUGCAGAAUUCCUGAAUUUUGGAGUUGUUAAAUAUCUUUAGUAAGUGAUUAUCUUUUCUUCCUUCUCCAGGGUAAAGUGGAUGUUGCUGCAAGUAUGAUUGAGAAGGAAUAAGCAGAAGGCUUUGGAGUAGAAGGAGAAAACUUCUGCUCAGGUAUAUGAGCAUAUAACGUAUGACAACCUAAAACAUAUAUCCCUAGCCUCAUUUACUGGAAUGCAAUAGCAGACUGUUAUAACAUCUUCUUUGUCAAAAUCAUCCAGCGUCACAGGUUGGAGGGUUGGAUGGGCAAUUGCACCAGCUUUUCUUGCGUCUGCUAUCAGAAAUAUUCACAAAAGAGUUACAGAGAUUCUCUUCCGGCACCUUUUUAGGAAGCUUGUUAAAUUGGAAGAAAGAAUAAUGGAAUGUCAGGAUUAACUAUGAUUGAGGAUGGUUGAAUUAAUGAAGCUUGUUAAAGAUUCAUUUGACCAAAAGACUAAAAUAAGCUAGGCUUGUAUUUGAUUAGUUUAUUAUAGAUGAGUGUAUUGGAUUAGUUUAUUUCAAUGCAUUAAAAGCAUUUUCAGCUAGUUGCUUAAGAAAUUGCUUAUUUC